rnacentral:rRNA from 1 species
CACCUCCUUAGAGUUUGAUCCUGGCUCAGGACGAACGCUGGCGGCGUGCUUAACACAUGCAAGUCGAACGAUGAAGCCCUUCGGGGUGGAUUAGUGGCGAACGGGUGAGUAACACGUGGGCAAUCUGCCCUUCACUCUGGGACAAGCCCUGGAAACGGGGUCUAAUACCGGAUAACACUCUGUCCCUCAUGGGGCGGGGUUAAAAGCUCCGGCGGUGAAGGAUGAGCCCGCGGCCUAUCAGCUUGUUGGUGGGGUAAUGGCCUACCAAGGCGACGACGGGUAGCCGGCCUGAGAGGGCGACCGGCCACACUGGGACUGAGACACGGCCCAGACUCCUACGGGAGGCAGCAGUGGGGAAUAUUGCACAAUGGGCGAAAGCCUGAUGCAGCGACGCCGCGUGAGGGAUGACGGCCUUCGGGUUGUAAACCUCUUUCAGCAGGGAAGAAGCGAAA